rnacentral:rRNA from 1 species
GACGAACCGUGCGAACGUUGUUCGGAAUCACUGGGCUUAAAGGGCGCGUAGGCGGACUGUCAAGUCAGGGGUGAAAUCCUGCGGCUCAACCGUAGAAGUGCCUUUGAUACUGAUGGUCUCGAGGGAGAUAGGGGCGUGCGGAACUUCCGGUGGAGCGGUGAAAUGCGUAGAUAUCGGAAGGAACACCGGUGGCGAAAGCGGCGCGCUGGAUCUCUUCUGACGCUGAGGCGCGAAAGCCAGGGGAGCGAACAGG